ensembl:lincRNA
GCACCUGCCAUCCCUGCUGGUGUUGUUGGUUGUUUAGCUCCAUCUCCUUGGCCAGAGUGGGAGCCCCUCUGGCUUGCCAAGCAAGUACUUUCAUUCUGUAUUAAGCCUCCCGUUCCCAGUGCUGGUGCUGUGAAGUGUUCCAUGUUUGCUGAAUUUUAUUUUGUUAAUUGCCCUGUUAAUUCUGGAACAGGACUUGACUCCUCUAACACUGAUGGCAAUCUGUUGGCUGAGAUGUUGGGCUUCAAACACCCGACAGGAGGGACAGCAAGGUGUGAGGAUAUUUUGGGGGAAUCACUUAUCGCAAAAACAGGACUAAUAUUGAAGCUUUGUUUAUGAGACAAUGCUAUGAAAAAGGCCAGACAGAAAGGAGCAAGCCGGCGUUGGUUACAACAUGAGGAGAUCAUGUCUGACGGUGCCGGAGAGUGGAUUCAGAGAGAGGCUGUGCUUGAGUUCCACACCCGAUGGAUUCUUUUGGCUGUAAUGUGAAUAAUUUCCAAGAAUUGUGGCUGAUGAGACUAAGGGGGAAUCCCAAAUUUCAUCAAGGAGCCUGUGGGGCUUCCCUGAAAUUUCAUUAGGAGGAGACUAAUUUAAAGAUUAACUAAUGUAAAGAUGCAGUUACCUAAUUAAUCGUAGCAGGCCUGUGUGGUGGUGCAGAGAGGGGCUCCCAGCAACAGAGAGAGACCAAAACAAGACAAAAAAAAUAGAGUUCUAUUUCUAAACUGCGAGCUCCUGCUGUACAACAAAUGAUACCCUUGGAAUUGAGCCCCCUCUGUUCUAAUGGGCUGAAAAUAACCUUGAGAUGUUAUUCAACUUCCUUUUGCUUACUUAAAAUUCCUCCAUAGCCUUUUAAUCAAAUUUAGUCUCUGUACAAACCUGCCCACCAGGAAGAAGUACUCCGAACAAAUAUUGCUGCUAAACUGCCAGAUGUGUCUCUCCGUGUAAAUAAUACCAGCUGCUACGAGUACAGUGGCUAUGGUGUAAAAGGUACUUCCCAUGAAUUUGACUAUAAUUUUCAUAAUAACCCUGCAAGGCAGAGAUGAAUACUUGAGAGCUGUCAGGCAUAGCUGUGAAGGUUGUGCAUUGAGCGAGUCUGAGGCAGGAUUCACAUUGGAGUCUAUGUGAAUGGUGUCUUUUGAAGUUGUAUGAUACUCAGCCCAUACUAUCAUACAAGUAUGACAACAAUACCAAGACUCGACAGUGUCAAGGACUUGCAUACAUUUCAUUAUAUUUAAACUUCAUCCCCGCCAUGCACAGCUGGUGCUACAAGGGGUGGCUAAAAUAUACAGAAUAUAUGAUAAAGGCUUAAAUAAAAAAUUGUUACAGUAAAAGACACAUUGCCAUUAAUCAUCUGCAAAAUCCUCUUCUGGGCUUUGAACGCGCUUAUCUCAUCAUUCUUGCCAUUUUCUGAAGCCAUUCUGGAAGUCUUCUUUCAUGAGUGUCUUCACAAGGUGUAAUCAAAAGUAGGUGACUGCUGCUGCUCAAUGCCAUCCAACAGAAAGACAGGUUAUAAAAAUAUUACAGUGUGACCUUAUCCACUUUAUUCACUGGAUCUGGCACUGUGCAAAUUCUGGCUCUUCUGCAAUCUCAAAAUGGUCAUGAGAGGUAAAUAUUUUGAAUCAGUGCAGAACACUGAGGCAACUUUGACAGCACAACCAAAGACACUCACAAAAGAGGACUUCCAGAGCUGCAUCAGAAAGUGGCAAGAACAAUGGGAUCAGUGUGUUUGAAAUAAGGAAGUGGAUUUUGAGAAGAAUUAAUGGCCAUGUGUCUUUUAUUCUACUAAUUAAAAAAAAAUUGAACAUUCA